rnacentral:lncRNA from 1 species
AAUCUUCUCCUUCCCUUUGGCCUUAGACGAAUCGACCACUUCCUUUGCUACAAACCACAAUCAAAACAAUAAAACAAUGUUAGAGAAAUAUAAUCAAACAUCAAAUCCUUCUAAAACUAUUAGUGAGAUGCAAACUGAUAUAGUGAAAUAUUUUCUCACUUUUUUUGACAACUCAAGAGAACUCCAAUCUAACCCAUUUGAAAUCAAAAUCUAACCUCAAAAUGAAGUUUAGAAACUCCUAAACACUCUAAAUCGUUAACAACACUAGCUCCUAAGCUCUCUCUUUCUCUAAAACUCUCCAAGCACUCAACCAAGGCAUCUUUAGAGAACUCUGUCAAAACUAAGAUCAAACUUAAGAUUCAACUAUCCCACUUGAUUCUAAACUCAAAUCUAAUAAUAUAAAGAAACAAUAGAUUCAAAGCUUUCUCACUUUACCUUGAAAAAUGCUAAAAAUGAAAUAAAAAUAAAAACAAUAAUUUUCAAUUUUUAGACCUUAUAGAUUAUGGUUAGAAAUCAUUUUAUCUUGCUGGAAAAUCAAAGAAUGAUCAAAGAAAUCAAAAGAAAACUUUACUCCUCAUCCCUUCCAAAAUUGGCAAUAUGAUCGAUCGAGAGGGUCGCACUAGCGACCACUAUAACGCUCCGGAUCCGACUGAACUUCCAAGUCUUGUUUGGGGUGUUACAAAGCCAAACAACAACAAUUAAAUUGGUUACAUCAAAUUUUAUUAUUAGUUUUGUACUAUGUUUAAGUUGAAGAUUUAGUCUCUAUCCUUUGAAUAAAUCAUUUUUAGUUUCUAUACUUUUCAAGUUUUGAAAUUUUAGUCUUAGCUUAAAUGGUAGUCAUUAAGUCCGUCAACUAAAGUGGCUUCAUUUUUUGUGUGUGUGAAUAUUAUGUGAAAAUAACUAGCCUAUAUGGUAUGACACAUGUGAUAAUAUUUUUCGCAUAAGAUUUUAGAAAUAGUAAAAUUUAACUUACCGAAUUUAAUAACUACCUUUUGGUCAGAAUUGAAAUUUUAAAAUCCAAAAAGCACACGAACUAAAAAUAUCAAAUAAUAAUAUAAAGAUUAAGUUUGCAACUUAUUAAUAUUAUAGGGACCGAUAGUUUAAUUUAACUACAAUUUUAAUUCAAAUAAAAUCAUGAAUACUAACUGAAGUAGAAGAAAUAUGUAAUUUAUGAUUUAACUACUGUUUCUCAUUAUUGGAAAUAAUAAAAGGUAUGCCACUUGAUUUUUUUUAAUAUGUUUCAUAUUAUAUAAAUAUCAAAAUAAUGGAUGAAAAGCUAGGUGUUUUUUUAAAAAAUAUUUAUAUUUGACACAUAUUUUAAAAUUUUAAUAUAAGAUAUAAUUAUUUAAAUAUAUAUAAAAGUUAAACAUACGUGCCUCGAACAUAUUUAUACUUAGUAGCUUCAAAUUAUGAAAGAUUUUAAAAUCCAUAGCGUUUUAUAGGAUAAAUUAAUCAUAUAUGUCAAAAAGAAAAAGUUUAUUAGUUAAAUAGGUCAUUUUUUAAAGAAAUAUAUCGAUUUUAGAGAGUGUGUAUGAAAGUUGGACUCAUUUUCUGUUUUCUGAUUAGGUAGCAGGAAAGGCAGUUGGAUGCGCUUUCCUUUUAAAUAUUAUUUUUUAAUUUUUUUAAUAUAGUUAGUUUUUUUUAUCAGGUGGUUAAAUAUUAGUGGUUUUAUCAUUAAGUCUCAAGUUUGAUUCUUCUCCUACUCACAUUUGUGUUUUUUAUUUUAUGUUGUUUUAAGCUUUUUAUUAUUUUUAAUUAAUGUUUUUAACAUAUUAGCUCUUUUGGUUAAAUGGUUAAAUAAUAAUAAUUUUAUCCUUGAGUUUCAGGUUCAAUUCCCCCUCUUCUAAACACAUUUGUAAUUUUUAUUUCAUGCUUUUUAUUUUUAAUUAAUAAAUAUAUUGUUUUCAAUUUUUUUUAUUUUUAGUUCAUCUUUUUAAUUGAUAUCUUUUUUAAUGAAAAAAUCAAAUAAUAAAUAUGUAAUUAUAUAAUAAAAAAUAUAUAUUUUACAUAUAUCAUUAUGUUAAAAAUAUUUGAAAUUAAUAACUCCUUUAUAUAUAAUAUAAACAUCAAAUAAUUUUUUUGAUAUAUUUUCUUUAUAAUAUUUAUAUACAAAUAUUUAUUUUCUCUACGUAUAUUGUGGGUAUGGUGAUUUCUAAUAUUGUAAGAUGAAAUAGUUAUUCAAAUAUAAUUAUUAUUUUUAUAUGUAAAAUAUUUCAAAUAUCAUUGUUUUUUUAUCUACAUUGUGGGUAUGAUAUUUCAAAUAUUUUUAUAUGUGAAAUAUUUUAAUUAAUUAUUUCAAAUACCAUUAUGUUUAUAUGUGAAAUAUUUCAAAUACACAUACAAAAAUAUAUAAUACUAAAAUUUACUACACUUAUGAUAUGGAUUGAAAAUUAAAUAUUACACAUAUAAAAAUUAUAUUUACUAAAAAUAAUUAUAUUUGUAAUAAUUAUUUUAUUUUAUGAAUAAAAGAGAUAUUAAUUAAAAAGAUGAACUAAAAAUAAAAAAAUUAAAACAAUAUAUUUAUUAAUUAAAAAUAAUAAAAAGUUUAAAACAACCUGAAAUACAAAAUACAAAUGUGAGUGGGAGAAGAAUCGAACCCCGGACUCAAGAACAAAACCAUUAAUAUUUAAUCAUCUGACCAAAGAUACUAAUUAUAUUAUAAAAGUAAAAAAGAAAUGCAAUUCAAAGUGGGUGCGCUUUCCUGGCAGCGCUGGACGUACUUUCACACACACUCUUCAAAAUCGGUCUAUUUCUCUAAAAAAAGGCCUAUUCAACCUUUUUUUUUUGUAUAUAUUACUAAUCUAGCCCAUUUUAUUAAUCAAUAUUGCAUCAACUUUUAAACCUCAAUAUUUAAAAAAACAUCCUCCAACUUUUUUUUGGUGAACUAUAAGAGGAGGGUAAAGCCCUAACAGCAAUGAUACUAGUGCGACUCAAACCUAAGCCACACUUGAGACAAUGAAUACCACACUUGAGACAAUAAAUACCCUGACCAUCAGACCAACACACGAAGUUCAAAACAUCCUCUAGUUUAAUUAUAAAUUAUUUACAUGUAUGCACAAAAAAAAUCAUUAAUAUAAUAUUUUGAAUGAAAUUAAUUAAUAGUUUUUUCUUUUCAAAAAAUUAAAUUAAUUAAUGGUUGAAUUUUCUAGACUGCUUCAAAAUACAUCUUUUCUAUAAGUUACUGUUAAUUAAAUAAUGACUUAAUAUAUAAUUUGAUAUUUAAGUUUAAUAUUUUUAAUGCGGUACUUGUGUUUUUUUUUCAAUUUGACCUUUGUAUUUGACAAAAGGUAUAUAUUUUGAUACACAAAGGUAACGGUGUUCAAAAAACUUUUAUAUAUAUUUCUUUUAUAAAUGCAUACAUUUAUCAACAUUGUAAAAUCUUUUAAAACAAUUUUCAAUAUUUAAGAACGAGUUAAAUGUGAUCUUAAAACACUUUGAGUUAUCAGAUAGGGGCACAUCCAAGUUAUAAAAAAAAAGUUCAAAGUUUGUCGGCUAAAAACGAAGUCUUUCGACUUGAGAAAUAUAAAAGUUUCACAAUAUAUUAAAAAUUUAAUCAAUUUGAAUAAAAUCAUUAAAUAACAUAAAAAUAACUUCAAGGUUUUAAAAUCAACUUAGAAGCAUUUAGAAACACUUUUCGAGUGAUCGGAGGUGUUCGAGGUUAAAUACCAGCUUUGGGGAGCUCAAAACAACCAAAAUAGUGCAGUAGCCUCAUAUCGAUACCUAACCCCUAGGUAUCGGUACCUAGACCACGUACUAUAACAUUUCAACUACUGACUUGUUCGAGUGUGAUGUCUAUGAUAAGGGAACUAGACCCUGGGCCCCUGAAACUGAAAAUAGGUAAAAAAAACACUUUAAAAACAUAACCAAACAUCACUAUAUCAUUUUAUUAUGAAUCAAAACAUUAUAAAUCAAAAUUUAAACUUAUUUAAACUCAAAUACAAAGCAUAAACACAUUCAUGGGUAGAAUAACAUUCACAAUGGUUAAGAAAACUAUAAAGAAUUUAAACAUGCUAUUCCACCUUACAACCUUACAUACAAAAUAAAGCUUUGUAUACAUGCCACCUAAUUUAACUCAAAUAACAUUCCAAUAUUUAGAAUACAACCUUAAAAGUUUGUCUAGUGAUGCAAUGCUCCCAAGUUAUCAUAGCGACUUCUCGACAAGGCCAUAUCUACAUGUUUUAAACCACUAACGCGUGAGCUUUAAAAGCACAGUAAGUAACAACGAUAAUCAAACUUAUCCUACGUCCUUAUUAAUGUUGAGUCCUUCAAUGAAAUACCUUACCUAGCUCAUUCAUGCCAUAUUUUAAUCAGUUUAUUAAUUUUUACCAAAUGAAGGACUCAACUUACCACUUCAGGUUUUAUUAGUUGAUUAUCCAAGUUCCAUAUGAGAAAUUUGUUAGUACAAAAAUUCAAUGAGGAAAAUAUCGAACACACAAAAGCAACACAAACAACAAGUCGAACAAAAAACGAAGAAAUAGGACAAGGCUCUAAGGUGUGUAUCGAGCCACUAUCUUUAAGGUUCUAUUCACCCCUACCUAUAAUGGUGUGCAAAUGAGUUUCAAGCAAAUGAACCUCGAGAAUACAAUGAAGCAUGAUGAUUAUUUGCGUUUUGCACUGACUAAAAUAGUAAGCACUAAGCAAUGUAUAACAAAAAAUUCAAUUUCUAUAAAGAAUUUCUGCAAUAGCUCUUUAUAGAACAGUCUAAUAAUAUUAGAAGAUGGAAGAAAUAUAGAAUAUAUUUUUAGAACUUAUUGGUAUAAUUUCCAAAUGAUAUCUCAUUCCUAUUUAUAGGAAUUUUCAUGUCUCUUCAUAGAGACAUCUUUCAAUAGGUGUCUUUUCUAAAUAAUAUCUUUAAAAGAGAAAUAAUUAUUCAUCUUAUAUCUCUUGAUUAAACAUAAGUAUUCAAAUGAUAUUGUUUGAAUAGUCAUAAUUUUUUGUCAAUAACCAAGAAGAUAUAACUUUUGAUUAAUUACACCAUUUCAUUUAUAAUUAUUGGAACACUAUAAACAUUUGAAAAUCUUCCAACAAUCUCCCCCCAUUUUCAAAAUAUUUUAGAUUUUGAUAAUAUUUGAAAUCAAUUUACAUAAAUGAAGGUGUCUUACGAUUGAACCUUCACUUAGUGAAAACAUGUUAAAGUUAAUCGAAAUUCCAUGGUAGACUAAGCUUUGAACCAAUUAUUCCAUUUGAUUAAUUGAACACAUCUCACAUAAUGAUUUCAACACCGAUCAAUGCAUAAUAUCUAGAGACACUAUUAUGGCCAUGUGUUUGUGUCCUCUUUUCAUGAGUGUUGUCAGAGCCAAGCUCUUUAGCUUCUAGAACCGGCCACACUUCCACUCAGAUAGGUAGACCCCAUCAAGAGUGCUUUCGUAAUUAUAACACUUUAACAUAUGUAUGUUAUGAGUCUAUUAAGAGUAUAUUACUCAUCCUUCCCUUACCAUUACGGGUACCUAGCACUUUAAUCUUAGGAUGCAUUUAUUUGUAGUGCUAGCAAUCACAUACUAAUUAUAUACUUUGUCUCAUUAAACUUAAGACUUAACAUUAUACCAAGAGUUGAAUCAAGUUUCCGUCAUGGGUGAUUCUAAUUAAUGGGUUUGAGUCCCAUCCCUUUUGAGGUCUUGUUGAGUACAUCUCUAGCAAGACUUUUUAUCAAAGGAUCCACCAAAUUUUCACUUGUCUUCACAUAAUUAAUAGUGAUCACUCCAUCAAAGAUUAAUUGUUGGACAUAGCUAUGUCUUAAUCCAAUGUGUUUAGACUUUCCAUUAUAUACUUGGUUAUAUACCUUUGCUAGAGUAGCCUCACUAUCACAACGGAUAGAAAUAGCUGAAAUUGUUUUAGGCCAUAGAGGUACAUCAUAAAGCAAAUUUCUUAGCCAUUCUGCUUCUUUAGAUGCAACGGCUAAUGCAAGAAAUUUGGCUGCCAUAGUGGAAUCAAUAAUAAAUUUUUGUUUCUUAGAACCCUAAGAAAUGGCUCAUCCACCAAGAAUGAAGAUAUAUCCACUAGUAGAAACAUGAUCUUCCAAACUUGUAAUCCAACUAGCAUUCGAAUACCCUUCUAAAAUUAAAGGAUAUCCAUUAUAGAACAAUAAAUAGUUAAUAGUUUUUUUUUAAAUACCUAAGUACUCUAUUCAAAGCUUGUCAAUGCAAACUACUUGGAUUACUUGAGUACCUACUUAAUUUCCCAACAACAUAUGAAAUAUUUGGUCUUGUACAAGUCAUUAUUUACAUAAGACAACUGGGACUUGUAUAUUUCAAUUGAUUAAUUUUUCUACUAGCAUUAGAUACUAAUUUUAUUUGAGGAUUCAUGAGUGUAGAUGUUGGUAUAAAAUUAAAAAGAUAAAACUUUUUAAGCACAUUUUCAAUGUAAUGUGAUUGUGAUAAAGCUAUAGUGCUUUCCUCUCUGGUUAUUUUAAUCCCAAGAAUAACAUCUGCUACACCCAUAUCCUUCAUAGGAAAGUUGUUUGAGAAAAAUUUCUUUGUUUUUUUUAUUUGUUCCAAAUAUGUGCCAAAUUUUAGCAUGUCAUCUACAUAUAAUAAAACUAUGAUACCUUUUCCAUUUUCAAAUUUGCUAUAUAUACACUUAUCAGAUUCAUUUAUUUUAUAGCCAUUAGGUAGAACAACCUUAUCAAACUUUUGGUGUCAUUGCUUUGGGUUUGUUUAAGUCCAUAUAGAGAUUUAACAAGCUUACAUGCCUUAUGCUCCUAUCUUGGAACAACAAAUUCUUCAGGUUUUUCCAUGUACACUUCCUCUUCCAAUUCACCAUUUAAAAAUGCAGUUUUAACACCCAUUUGGUGAACACCAAAAUUAUACAUUAAGGUAAGUGAUAUUAAGAGUCUAAUCUAAUCUAUCACAAUUCGUUGUAGCAGAUUAAACCAUUUUUUCGUACUCAAAAAGCUCGUAUAAAUGCAAUUUAGUUAUGUUUUUACUUAGUUUCCAUUUUUUGUUCAUAAAUAAUAAAAAGUGUAAUUUGAGUCAUUUAUAUGACCUUAAGGGCCAAAAUAAGCCUAAAAGAAGGCUAUCGUAUUCGGUGAGCGUGUAGGACAUCAUUCGAAGGCAUAAGAACACGAGACUGGUCGCGAUGUUGCAACACAAAGUGUCGAUGUUGCAACAUAAUGAGCAGAGCACUCAAAACGAGCAAACUACCUUCAAUGUCGCGACAUACCCAGAAGGGGUCAUGACACAACCCUGUAAUCAAGCUUUAGCUCGUAAACUACCAUCAGUGUAGCGACACAAGUCAAAGGGAGUCGUGACACCGCUUUGACGGGAAAAAUUAAUGAGCCAAGGGCAUUUUGAUCCACACAACAAACUUUAGUGCAAAAACGUCAGUCGAAUUAAGUCAACAGAUGACGACUAACCCUAAGCUUAUAAAUAGACAACUCUAAACACUUCAUAGACAACUUUUAUUCAGGUUUUAGUAGACGUCUUUCAUUUAGUUUUAUUUUCAAUUUCUUUCUAGUUUAUUUUGUACUUAGAUUUCUUUUAUCAUUGUAAUUUUAUUUUAGUUUCUUUUUCGUUCUUAGGGGAAUAUGAUUUGUGGAAACAAUCGAAUCUUUGCAGGGAAUAUGAUGUUUAUUAGAUCCAUAAGGAACUAACCCUUUUAUAGGAGAUUAGCGAGUAGAUGUGGGAGUAAUUAACUCUUAUGUAAGGUUUCCCAGCAAAUCAGCUGAUUAGGAUAGGAAGAACUUAAAACCCUAGGCCUGACAACCCUAGAAAGUCAUCUAGGUAGGAAGGAACCCAAAAUUGGUAUUGCCUAUUCAUGAACACCUUACUUCAAUUCGGUCUAGACUAUGAGGUCGAGAGAUAAGUAAUUCUUGUCGACUCAUUAGUUUAGUGGAAGAUUGAAAGGUCCUGUUAGGUUAAUGACUAGUUGAUUGAGUAGAACCCAAAAAAAGGAGUUAGUUUUGACCACUGAAAUAAGUUAGUCUUCUGUCCUUAGUAUUGAUAAAAUUUAUAAAUUAUUUUCUCUUCUUUGUUUUUAUGCAUUUUAAUUAUUUUUAUAAAAUAUGAUUUUUCAUCACCCUAGGAUUCAUCGUAAUAUAGUUUAAUUAAAUUACUAAUUAGAUCUAUUAACGUAGAGAUUAGAAUUAGUUUAAUUUCGCCUCUCUUGGAUACAAUUCUUAGAGUACUCAAAUACUUCGUUGUAUAAAUCUAUAUUACAACCUGACCGUAUACUUGCAGAAACUACCUAACGAUUAUAUUUGGUUGCAGGAUUUACACUCUAUACGUUAGUAUGUCCGGAGGCAAUCAAGUUGCUGGCGUCGUUGCCUGGGAGGCAACGCCACUAGAUUAGUUUAAUUUUUAUGUUUAAUAGAAUAAUUAGAAAAUUUUUAAAUUAUAGAUACGAUUUUAAUUUUUAGUUGUUCUUUUUCUUUACUUGCAUUUUUGCUUUUUCUUUGUGGUUUUAGUGCAUGACUUGAAAUAAGGGCACACCCAUAAAGCCGACCAUCGAUCCAGAAAGAGUUAUUCAUAGAAAUCGUGGACAAUAACAACAGUAGAUGCAGAAUAACCCACCUGCUACUGUCAAUCCACAACACGAAAAUUCAUUUUUUGAUAUUCUUAAAUUGCUAGAUCGACCACCACCACUAUCGCAAUUACCGCUAAAAUAGUAGAUGGCUCAAGAGGAACACACACUGGGAGAUUACGCAUUACCAACCCUCGACGCAGUACAAGGUAGCAUCGCAAGGCCGACUAUAACCCAAAUAAUUUUAAGAUAAAGCCGACAAUGAUCCAGAUGAUACAAAAUAACAUAUAGUUCAAAGGGACAAUAAGGGAGGACCCAAACUAGCAUAUAAAAUGAUUUCUCCAACUUUGUGAUACUUUUAAGUCUAACGAGGUCACAAAUAUUGCUAUUCAUCUUUGGUUGUUCCCUUUCUCCUUAAUAGAUAACGUUUUCUCUUAGUUAGACUCGCAUGCACCAGGAUCCAUCAAGACAUGAAACGAACUUUCAAAGAAUUUCUCAUACAUUUUUUUCUAUUAGCAAAACGAUCCAACUGAGAAGAGAGAUUGCCACAUUUAAGAAAUUAGAGAAAGAAAACUUUCACAAAGCUUGGGAAGGAUUCAAGUCGCUGGUACAAAGAUGCCCUCACCAUGGUUUACUUGAUUGGUUACGAUUGCAGAUGUUCUAUAAUAGGCUAGAUGUACAAUCAAGAUUAGGACUAGAUGGAGCUGUAGGAGAAACUUUGAUAAACCAAACAUACGAAGAUGUGUAUGAUCUGAUAAAAAACAUGGUAAUGAAUUCUUGCCAAUGGCCAAAUGGGCGAUUUACUUACGGCCAAAGACCAUCCACAGUUAAAGUUGUCCAUAUGGAAGACAAGUAUCAACAAAUUUUGGACAAACUUACCCAGAUCUAGUCAACAUCUAGUAGGUCCACAAUAUAUGGUGCAGAUAGACCAAUUGGCCAGUAUCCUGAAAACCCAACCGAGAAUGUAAAUUACAUUAGGAAUGGGGGUGUAAAUCCCUAUUCAAAUACUUCUAAUCCUAGUUGGGGAGAUCACCCAAAUCUAAGAUGGGGUGGCAAUCAAAUAGGAGGUAACGGUCCUAACCUAGUUAAACAAAAUAUUACUUACCAACCUCUAUAUUUAUAGAAACCUCAGGAAAGGGCCAACCCAAAUGACCAUAUUGUUUGUGGUCAAUGACUGGAUCGAAUUGAGGGAGAGAUGCAGUCAAUGCGAACAGUUGUAAGACAUAUGCAGUUUGAGUGCAUUCAGACAUGAACCACAUUAACAAAACUCGAAGAUCAAAUGAGCCAAUUAAUGAGCAUGAUGGGAGACAUCAAACGAAAAAUUGGUACGGACAUUCCAAACAAUACUGAAAAUAAUCCGCGAAGAGAAGGGAAGAAGCAAGUGAAGGCAAUAGCGCUCCGGUCAGGUGAAGUACUGAGUAGCCUGAAUAGCCCUACUCAAGAGGAAGACGAUGGGGAAGCUAAAGAUCUUCAAGACGAAAUCCCUCAAAACUAUGAUGGUGAACCAAAGCCAGAAAAGGUAGUCGAGCUAGCAGUUGAGUCGGAAGCCAAACAAAACGUAAAACCUGUACUAAAAAAGGUACCAUUCCCUUUACGGCUAGAGGGCAAGUUGAAAUGGGAUGAAGCGGAGUUCGUAAGUUUUUUAAACUUAUUUAAAUCGCUUAGCAUUAAUUUACCUCUCAUCGAACUAAUCGAAAAAUUUCCUAAGUAUGCUCAAUUUUUAAAGGAAAUAAUGGCUAAGCGUAAGAAAAUUAAAACGAAAGAGUAAGUUAACCUAUAUGCAUCAUGUAGUGCGAUCAUUACCAAACAAAUACCCCUUAAAUUAAAAUCCCCGAAAGUUUUACUAUUCCAAUAAAGAUAGGGAACAUUUAUUUCAGUAAGGCCCUAUGUGACCUAGGAGCCAAUAUUAAUUUAAUGUAUUUAUUGAUAUAUAAGACACUUGGGUUAGGGGAGCUCAAGAACACACAUAAAUAGAUCUUCAGUUCAACCGAAAGGGGUGCUCGAAGAUGUGUUGGUAAAGGGGCAUGAUUUUAUCAUCUUGGUCGAUUUCACAAUUUUAGACUUCGGGGAAGACCGUGAGAUACCUAUUCUGCUAGGGAGACCCUUCUUAGCUACAUCUAGGUCAACCAUCGAUUUAGAAAACAAUGAAUUAAUCAUGAAAAUCAAUGGUGAAACUGAAAAUUUUAAAUGUGGUCACCAAUAGAAUAAGGAAUGUAGAAUAUAUUUAGGGAGAACAUGUUAUAAUAUAUCUGUAAAUUUCCCUAGCAACCUUGAUCAAAGAAGGGUAUUUUUUAUGCUUCAUGCAGGUCGAAAGAUCAGGUACAAAGAACAGGACAAAUAGAGUAAGGUGGAAUGGCACGAUGGACGCUAGACCAAUUCUGAUAGACAACCAAUAAAUGAAGCGUCUAUGAAUAGACUAAAAGAGCUGAGAGACGAAUCUGGCAGCAACACCUGAUCUUCCUUACAUUAUUUUAAACUUUUUGUAAAUUAUUGUAUUUAAUAGACUUAAAUAUUAGUAAUUGGAUAGGAAUGGGCCUAAAUAGGUAGAUUAGGACUUAAUUUUUCUUUACAUUGCUUAGAAUUAGGAUAUUUAUGUACUGAACACCUUGAAAUUCAAGAGAAAAAGGCCAAAACAAGAUUGGGCUUGCAACACGACAUCUUUGUGUUGCAACAGUGAGUCUAGAAUAUUUUUUUUCAAAAAUUAAGUCAAUGUUGCGACACGAGUACCUAAAUGUUGCAACAUCGAAGACAAUAGCCCCAACUCUCAAAAUUUUAAGGUGUGUUAUGACAUCGGAAGACUUCCAAGGGUGUCGUGACACAAAACCCCUAUGUCGCGACAUUGUUGCAAAUGUUUACAGGGUUGACCCGACCUGUUGCGCAAUCCGACAGUCAAAACCCUAUUUUUACCCAGCUUUCUAACCUAAAACACUAAUUCUUUUCAAACCAAAACACUAUUAACACAAUCCUAAUACUCUUCUAACUUCAAAACACUUUGAACCUCUUUAAAACCCUUCCCAACUUCAAACCUUAUUUCCCAUUCUUCAUUGUUCUUUUCUUCUUUGUACUACUAAUAUGAUUUCUUUUUUUUUCUCUCUUUUGUGCAGGUGUAAGCUCCACAUCAACAAUGAAAUUGCAAUGAAUUCUUGAAAGGAAUCACGAAUAUUGAAUAUUAACAGGUUUCCUUCUCGAACUUUAUUGUUACAUUUCAUUUUGCGUUUUUGAAACAUAAAGUUUGAUUAUUAGUUCACCUAGCCAAAUAUAUUUGAAAAUGCCUCCUAGGAAGUCUAAAAGAACCAGAAAAACAAGAGGCGCUAGUGGUUACAAACCCCUCUAAAUUUUAAAACACGAAUGACAAAAAAUACUUUCUAGAACUACAAUGGAAGACAUUCAUCCAAGAAAAGGGUUUCGAGCCUUUGUUGGUCAUUUGUAAAGAAAUUUGGGUCUAGUACGGUAUCAUAGAUGGGAUCGAUUUUGCGUAACCGCAAAAGAAUACGUUACUAUCCUAGUUGUCCAAGACUUCUAUGCAUCUUUUAGGAUCAAGAGUCUAAGAGACCGUAUGAUGUCGUUUGGGAAACUAUAACAGUAAGAGGUACAAAGGUGUAUGUUAUCCCUCGAGAAAUUUUUAAGUUUUACAAUGUUUCAUAUUAUGAAACUGAUUUAACUCAAAGGAUCAUAUUAAUUAGUUGUGAUGACAUACAAGUGAAUUAAUCACUUUGUGAAUUAAUCAUUGAUAAAUAUACAAGUGAAUUAAUCACUUUGUGAAUUAAUUAUUUCUUGACAGUGAUCAUAUUAAUCAUUAAGAAGACACAAUGGUGACAAUGAGAUAAAAUAGGAUUUUAUUGAGUGAAUGAAUUUAACUCAAAGGAAUCAAGGAUAUCAUAUGAGGGUAACACACACAUGACGAGGUCAUUGGACAAACCAGUUGGAUGAAUUACUUUCGUAAAAUGUAUACAAUAAGAAGUUUCCAAUCAUGGUUCUUCUUGAGGACUAAUUCCAUGAUUAAGUAAUUGCAAAUUAUCGAAACGAUGCUUUUGGAUAUAAUUGCAACUACUAGAGCCUAAUUGUAUAUGUCUGAUUGGUCCCUCAUCUAGCUCAACAAAAGCUCGAUCGAAAUGCAUUUGAAUUAAAAGAAAAUUCUACGACUUUGGAAAUAAUGUAAUUGAUUUGUUUUAUUUGAAGUGGAAUUAAAUUAGGCGGUCGUGAGAAUUGUUCAAACAGAGAAUUUGAUUAAAAAUUUCUUGAAAAUUUAAAUUUAAAAAAUCUCAGUGAUUUUUGAGAAAAAUAAUUUUAAUAAAGUAAAAUUUAAUUAAUCAAAAUUAAUAUGAUAUUUUUGGAAAUUAAUUUUCAAGUCAAACAAUUGGUCCGAUAAGUAAUUGAACUUGAAAAUUGGACUUGAGAUCAAAAAUUGGGCUCGAGAACCCAAAAUUGAGAUCGAGACCAAAAAAUUGAUCGAACCGAGCCUAGUAUGUGAAACUAGACCGACAGUCCAACUAGUAGCUGGACCGAAUCGGUCAAGUCAUCACUGACCCAGAUCAAACCGACAACAACCGAACUGGCUCAGGGUGCUGUAAGGGUGUCAUGCCUCCACCAUCAGGCACUAUGGUGCUGACAGUUGCGGGGGCAACAUUUUGGUGGCCAGUGAGUGGUCCUUUGGUGGUUGAGUAGUGGAAGAAUUACACUCUUACUAGAACUCUAUCGGAUAAUUUAAUUUCAGAUUAACUAUUCCAAAAAUAAUAUUAUUUUAAUAGCUUUAAUAUUAAAUUUAAUUUAAUACUUAUCUUCAUAGUUUUAAUAUUAAUUUAAUAGAUUUAAUAGUAAAGUUAAUCUAAUAUUUAUCUUGAUAAGUAUUAUAUUAAUUCAAUAUUAAAGUGAUUAAGUUUAAUCAUAGUUGAACUCUCUAAACUAUCCCUAUAUAAAGAGAGUCUUGGGUCAUUAUUUUUCACAAACUUAAAUUCAAGAAAAAGCUGUAGAGAGAAAAUUAUUUGAAGAACUUAUUUUAGAAAAUUUCUAAAGAUAUUUUUUAUAUUUACAACUUGAUCCCAAAUUUUAGAGAAAUUGCAAAAGUACCCACUGGUAAUUUUGUGAAAAAUUUUCUAAUUCGAAGCGAGUCCACACUCGGCAUAUGUGAGUUUGAGGAUAGCGGAGAAGAGUACUCCGUAGAAGCGUUCAUCCUAGAUUAAUUGAAUAGGUACAAUUUUGAUUAAGUGUUUAUUACUUUAAAUAUCACAACCAAGUUCUAGCUUUGGAAAAACUUUUAAAACUCUAUUUUUUUCCCUUAAACUUAUUUUUUGUUGUGUUUUCUAAAUUUAAUUUGUCCAAUAAUUGGUAUCAGAGUCAGGUUGUGUUCUAUCUAUAUGUAUAAAUAGGUAAUCAAAAUAUAUUUCUAUGCUUCUUUAAUGAUUCGAUUACAUAGAAAGUGACACUUUUUAGAUCUUAUGCAUGUUUUGAGUUAUAUAUGGGAAUGGAUGCAAUAUUAUAUAUUUGUUAUAUAAUUGUUAUUUUUUCUAAAGUUGUGGUUCUUAGAAAAUAGACCAUGAACUAUCAUAUCCACGUAGGACUAUUUUUUUUAAAUUCAUAGAAUUCUUAUGAGCCAAAAAUGGACAUAGGACUUAAAUGUAAUUUUUUCAAAAAGGAGUCCAUGACGAGUAGAAGAUGGAGCGAUGGCGGUUAAAAACCCAAGGAAUUCCUUGUGGUGAAAAAUUGUAUAAUUUUUGUUUUUCAUUUAUUUUCUAGAAAUAGAACGAUGGAAACAUUGUCUGACAUAUGUAUGAGAUGAUCCACGGUUGAUAUAUUAAAAAAUAAGAAGUGUGGUAAUGAGAAGAUGCAUGUCUAGGAUUUGCUCUGGAAAGGAAAUACUUUGUUUUUAAGUGGUCAAAUAUGACUCACCUCCCUUUCCUGAGACCCUACCUGGUGCACGGUUUACAUCCACUUAUUUGAUUUUUCUCUUAAAAAAAACUGUGGAGAAUUAAAAUUAUUUUUUUAUGAUUGAUUGAUUCUUGUGAAUAAAUGAAUGUGAGUAUUAUAGAAUUGUCAUGCAUAUAUUGGAAGCAUGCCAUAUAGAUUAGGUAAUAAUUCCACUAAGACUAUUGUAUGAUCCUUCUUGAAACCUGGGAUAAAAACCUUGCAUGUUUUUAAAAUGUUGAGUGGGAGAGGGUCUUUGAACAAUACCUACGGCCUCCAUUGAUGGUCCCUAAGUGAUAGCAUGAUAAAAUUUUGACUCGAUUCCUACCCUGGUCGCACCCCAAGGUAAACUUUAUCAUAUGGGUUCAAUAGAUGGGAUUUCCUUUUAAGGACAACUAGUCAUGCAUGACUCUCAGUGAGAUUGUCUCAAGAUGACUCUUAUGAACUAUGGCAUGAAAAGAAACUCACUCUAAAUAACUUUAUAAUAUGGGGUUGUCCAACACACUUUCUGGAUAAUGAUGCAAAGAAGUUGGAUGCACGGACAAAAUUGUACAUGUUUGUAUGAUAUUCGAAAGGAACAAAUGGUGGAUUAUUCUACAAUUCGAAAGAUAACAUGAUUAAAAUUUCUAACAUUAAGGAAAGCUACAUGGAUAACUUUAAGCAUCGAAGGAAUGUGGUACUCGAGGAACUUUUGAGAGUUGUAGAACAAUCACCUAGUUUAUUUCUCGAGAAAGUUGUGGAAAGACCUACAAAUGAUCAUUAGCAUAGGGGAAUACGUCGUAGUGGGAGAGUUUCUAAGAAAUCGGACUUCUUCAUCUAUAAUGGUAGUAUUUAUAAUACGGAAGUUAAUCAUGAAGAUGAUGCUCCACUCACUUACGAGGAGGCUAUGAAGGUUAUUGAUUUCAAGCUCUAAAAAUAGGUUAUGGAUACCGAGAUGGAUUCGAUGAAAUCCAAUAUGAUGUGGGAACUUGUAAACUUACUGGUUGUGAUUAAACCCAUAAGGUGUAAGUGGAUCUAUAAGAAAAAGAGAAUGCGGAAGGGAAAGUGGAAACAUAUAAAGCUAGACUUGUAGGGAAAUGCUACACAUUGAAAGAAUACUUCGAUUACGAUGAGACCUUCUCUCCGGUAGACAUGCUCCAGACUAUCCACAUACUAUUAUCCAUUGCCACUGCUCUUGAUUACAAGAUCUAGAAAAUGGAUGUUAAGACAGUAUUCUUGUCUGGCUAUCUUGAUGAGACCAUUUACAUGACUCAACCCAUUGGUUAUGUUGUCAAAGGAAAGGAGCAGAAAGUUUGUAAACUGCUAAGAUCCAUUUAUAGACUUGAGUAAGCAUCUCGCUCAUAGAAUAAAAUAUUUGAUUAAACAAUCAAGACUUUUGGUUUUCAGCAAAACUCUGAUAAACCUUGUGUUUAUAAGUGUAUAAAGGAUAAAAAGGUGGUUUUCAUCGUUCUAUAUGUAGAUAUUCUACUUAUUGGAAACGAUGUACGAGAAUUGUCAUCGGUUAAACUGUGGUUAUCUCAACAAUUUAGCAUGAAUAACUUGGGUAAAACUAGUUAUAUUCUUAAAAUUCGAAUCCUUAGGGAUCGAAAGAAUAAAGCGAUAGCUCUAUCAUAAGCACUCUACCGACUGUAUCGGGUUUUCAUCUUUCUUUUGAUGACUAUCCUAAGACAACAGAAGAAAGAGAGCAUAUGAUUAAGGUUCCAUAUGCUUCAGUAGUUGGAAGCCUUAUGUAUGUAAUGUUUUGCACACGUUCAAAUAUUUGUUUCACCGUAGGAAUUGUAGAUGCGGUGAAAGUAGCUUUUGAAUAUAACCUUGUCGAUUUUUUUUGCUAAGACUUUUGUAACUAGGAGUUUUAACAACCAUGUCGAGGAUAUGAGAAUACAAAACAUGACACAUUUACUUUAUUAGGGCAAGUGAGAGAUUCUUGGGAAAGGUGUCCAUAUUGUAGUAAACAUGUAAUUGUUUUCUAUGUAUGUGAACAAUGAAUGAAUAAACAAAGUUUAUUUCACAUUUUACUAUUAUGUCAUUUGUGUUACUAUCUUUCAUGUUUUGCAUGCAUAGCGAAAUUGUGACAAGUGAAUAUUAGCUCAUUGAUUGUCUAAGUUUAAAUUAAUGAUAAGUAGCACUGUAAGAACGUUUAAAGUGCAAAAAAAAGACAAUUUACUUUAGUAGAUAAUCUAAACAAGUCUAUAAUCCCGUAAAAGAGUAAAAAUAAGCAUUUGAUUCAAAUACUUAGAAGGAUUAUUAUUUCGUCUACAAUUUCAAUUCGAGAGAUGGCUAGUCUUGGCUAUCGAAACAGUUUACUCUAUGGGUAUAGACAUAGAUGUACUCAUUGGAAGAAUGAUACAUUGGGCCGAACCCAAGAUGAAUUAAUUCUGAAUCUAUUUGGGAAUUAAUUCACUUGUGGCGUUUAUGGUGUGAUUUACCUAAAUCCUGAGUUAGUCAUAAACUAUGUGUGUCUAACUUAUGUGCUUUGAUAUAAAUGGAGGCUUAUGCUCUAAAGAUGGUCGAUCCCAUAGCCAGUAUGUUGGGUACAUGAGUUGUGCAUGGAUGGCUUUUCUAGCAACAAUGGAAUUCAUAGCUCGAUUAAAGAGUUAACGAUAUUCUCUAAUUGUCAUUGAAUGGAUUGAUUAAUAUGGAACAUGGCCAAGGGUUGCUUGUUCUCGAACAAGCAACUUAUCACAAUCAUUUGUUGACAGUGAUCAUAUUUAUCAUUAAGAAGACACAAUGGUGACAAUGAGAUAAAAUAAGAUUAUAUUGAGUGAACGGAUUUAACUCAAAGAAAUCAAUGAUAUCAUAUGAGAUAACACACACACAUAGGAGGUCAUUGGACAAAGAAAUUAGAUGAAUUGCUUUCAUAAAUAGUAUAUAAUAAGGAUUUUUCAAUUAUGGUACUUCUUGUGGACUGACUCUAUGAUUAAGUAAUUACGAUUUAUCGAAAUGAUGCUUCUAGAUAUAAUUGCAAUUACUAGAGCCUAAUUGUAUAUGUCUAAUUGACCCUUUCGCUAGCUUAACAAAAACUCGAUCGGACUGCAUUUGAAGCAAAUGAAAAUUCUAAGACUUUGGAAAUAAUUUAAUUGAGUCAAUUUAUUCGAUGUGGAAUUAAAUUAGGCUAUCGUGAGAAUUGUUCAACUAGAGAAUUUGAUUAAAAAAUUUUGGAAAAUCUCAGUGAUAUUUGAGAAAACUAAUAUGGUAUUUUUGAAAAUUAAUUUUCAAGUUAGAUAAUUGGCCCACUGGUAAUUGAACUUGAAAAUUGGACCUGAGAUUGAAAAUUGGACCUGAGAACCCAAAAACAAGACCAAAACCCCAAAAAUGGUCGAACCAGGCCUGGUAUGUGAAACCAAGUUGAUGAUCCAAUAGGUGGUUGGAUCAGAUCGAUCGAUUUGUCACUGGAUUAGACUGAACCGACUGCAAUCGGACCUACUUGGGGUGCCGUAAGCAUGUUACGCCUGCACCACCAGGCACUAUGGUACGAACGAUUGUGGCGGUAGCAUUCCGAUGGCUAGCGGGUGGUCUCUCGGCGGUUAAGUAGUGAAAGAAUUACACUUCUACUAGAACUCUAUCGGAUAAUUUGAUUUUAAAUUAACUAUUCCAAAAAUAAUAUUGUUUUAAUAGUUUUAAUAUUUAAUUUAAUUUAAUUUAAUAUUUAUCUUAUAGAUAAAUAUUCUGUUAAUUUAAUAGAUUUAAUAUUAAAUUUAAUCUAAUAUUUAUCUCGAUAAGUAUUAUAUUAAUUUAAUAUUAAAUUGAUUAAGUUUAAUAAUAGUUAAACUCUCUAAACUCUCUCUAUAUAAAGAGAGUCUUGGGUAAUUAUUUUUCAUAAACUUGAAUUAAAGAGAAAGUUAUAGAGAGAAAGUUCUCUAAAGAAAUUAUUUUAAAAAUUUUCUAGAGAUAUUUUUCAUAUUUAUAACUUGACCCCAAAGUUUAGAGAAAUUAUGAAAUUACCCCACUAGUAAUUUUUUGAAAAGUUUUUUAUUAGAAGUGAGCCCACACUCUACAGACAUGAGCUUGAUGAUAGCGGAGAAGACUACUCGGUCGAAACAUUUAUCCUAGAGGAAUCGAAAAGAUACAAUUUUGAUUGAGUAUUUAUUACUUUAGAUAUCACAAUUAAGUUUUACUUUUGAAAAAAAAUUUAAAACUCUGUUUUUCUUUUUGUUAAACUUAUUUUCCGCUACGUUUUCUAAAUCCGAUUUUUCCAACAGGUGAAAGUAACAGUGCUUGGUUACUCGUUAGGGUUAAACCUACACGAAUCAGAUAAUAGUGUUUGGUCAUCCAUUAAGGUUGAACCUACAUAAAAAAAUAGCUUGGCCAAGGCUUAAUAUACAUGUAUUCUCGAGUCCGCAACACAUGUUGGAGCUUGGAACCUAUGGGAAAUAACCCGUAACCUCGUAUAUGAGACUUUCACUAAUUUCAUCAGGGUUUAAUCUCACAUUAUACCAUUUCGCAACAAUCUAUUUCAAUCUGAUUCAAUGCUCAAUUUAGGUACUAAUUCAUAACCAAUUCAAUAUAUCAAUAAAACAUUAAUGAACAUACAGAUGAAGCUCAAUAGCAAUUUAAACAUAUUUAUACUAUAUGAACUUACCAAGGCUAAUAGCAAAAGCAGAAGUACCAGGGACUAGUCUGUAAAUUUCAUUUUUUCCAUAUUAUCAACCGUCUUGUUUAAAUCUUGAUCUAUAAUUUAAAUUUAUUUCAGCUUAAUCACUCAAAUAUCAUAAUACAUCCUAUUAAAAAUAUAUGUAAGCUUAAUUUUAUCUUUCAGUUAUUUCUUCAAGUAUUACAUUUUAUUCAAUUUAGUCCCUAAAAUCAAACUUAUCAUAACUUCCAAAUUUGGACUCCAAAUUUUAAACCAACUUCAAUAUAUCCUAUCACAGUCCUAUUAUAAAAAAUUAUAGAAAUUAGAUGUCAAUUUCAAGAUAUUAACAAUUUAAUCUUUAUGUUCAAAACUAACAAUUUCCACUUCACAAACUAGUUUUUUUUUUCAUUUCUAAGAUCAAAAUCUAACAACUUAACAUUAAAAGCUUCAAAUAUCAACAAUGGUAACAUUUUAAAACAAUAACAAUUUUAAAAAAGAAUAUACCAAUUAACUAAAUGAGUUACAACGACCCCGGGAACAUGAAAUUUACGAGAAAUGGAUGAAAAAUGACCUACCAUGCAUAAAGCUAAAGUUGGCCAAAUGUUGAAGCUUUAUCAAUGGCUUCUCAAGGUUUCAUUCUUUCCACGGUGAAGAAGAACAAAAAAGAAAUGGAUGAUGAAUUUUAAUUUUAACUUAUAUAGAUAGUUUAUUAAUUAAGUAAUCCUAAUUAACUUAAUUAAUCAUAAUUUAUUAACAAUGGAUGAUAUAUAGUUGUCUAUCACUAUACUAAAAAGGGUCAAAUUGCUCAAUUGGCGUUUCAGUUAAUUAAAAUUCCAUAAUGGUUCAUUUUUACCAUUUUUACAGUUUAACCUUUGUACAUUAAUUAGUCAUUAAUUUAGUAAAAUUACCUAUCCAAAAUUCAAUUCACCUAUAUAAUCACUCUAUAAAUAUUUAAUAAAAAUAUUUUCAAGCUCAGCUUAUGAAAACGAGGCCUCAAUACCUCAUUUUCCAAAAUCACUUGACUUUAGAACUGAAAUAUUAGAUCAAAAUUAUAAGAUCAAAAUUUACUAUAUCAUUUUACUUGACUCGUAAAUAUUAAAUAAUAAUAUUUACAGACUCACUCGUCGGAAUUGUGAUCCCAGAACCAUUGUUUCUGACACCACUGAAAAAUGGGUUGUUACAUUCUAAGUUUGAAUAGUUUAUCUUUAGAUUGUAAGAAUGCUAAUUAGGUGGAUGGUAUAGGAUGUUACACUUAGUGUUUUUUUAUGUUUUUUAUUUCAAAUUUUAGAACUCAUAACGUAAGUAGACAAAUCAUUUGGCUAACCCUACUUUUAGGCACUCAAAUGCUUUCACACAUACAUUUUAAUUCACAUUUUGAAUUAGGCCUUAUACACAUUUUCAGUGUUCACUUUUUUUCUUUUUCCAUAUCAUAGUCAUUUAUAUAUUUUUAUCUUGUAUCGACUCUUGAUGACAUUACGCAAGACUUUACAUUUUAAUAUAUUUUUUGCCAUAAUGGCUUUAUCCAGUCUUUCCAUGAUGUCAACACGGUUCAUACAUGUGCAUACAUACCCUAUCAAGUUUUAAUUUCUUCCAUAGAACCUUAGUAUCAUUUUCAUAUAAUUGACUAACAAGACAUCACAUAGCAACUCAUAAUUUCUCUUUCACAUUUUAAUUUUUAUUUUAUAUAACAUUAUAUCAUUGAAUUUCACAUUAUUAUUAACAUAAUUAAAUACUUAAUUAUAUCAUUGGUUUCAUAGUUUCCUAAGCUUACUAACUUAGAAGAAAUUAGAGUAUCCAAGGUAUUUACCUUAAUAGAUGCUCUACAAUACUUAAUCAAGUUUCCAUGUAUUGCAAUCCAUCAAUAAAGCUUGAAAAUCGAUGUCCUCAUUACCAUACAACAAAAAUACAUUAAAAGAUUAAUAUAAAAUUUUUCCAAACUUUUCUCAUAAUAUUUCAAAACAAGAAUCAAGCUAGUAGGGAUGUAGGAAGCCAUUUCUUACCUUAUUGAAGCUUUCUCACUCUAACUUCAACUUCUCUCACUAAAAAUCCAUAAACCCUAGGCUGUCAUUAAAGAAAUUGAUAGACGAAUUGAGUUUAGGAGAUUGUUUCCAUGGACAUUUUGACAAAAUCUCAAGGUUGAAUGUGAAGCUUUUGAGAGAAAAUGAAAAAAAAAAGUGAGGAAAAAUGAAAAAGAAUAAGAAAGAGACCCAUGAAGGUUGCUG